UACAGAGGGUGCGAGCGUUGUUCGGAAUUAUUGGGCGUAAAGGGCUCGUAGGCGGUCUGUUGCGUCGGGAGUGAAAACUCAGGGCUUAACCCUGAGCCUGCUUCCGAUACGGGCAGGCUAGAGUUCGGUAGGGGAGACUGGAAUUCCUGGUGUAGCGGUGAAAUGCGCAGAUAUCAGGAGGAACACCGGUGGCGAAGGCGGGUCUCUGGGCCGAUACUGACGCUGAGGAGCGAAAGCGUGGGGAGCAAACAGG
rnacentral:rRNA from 1 species